GGCGCUAUAGCCAAGUGGUAAGGCAGAGGCCUGCAAAGCCUUCAUCCCCAGUUCAAAUCUGGGUGGCGCCU
rnacentral:tRNA from 1 species